CCUUGCCUCCAUAACUGUUGUGGGUAUUCACGGCCAGGCUUCUAAACCUCUUGAAACUCCCCAACUCUGGUGCUAACUUGGACAAUACUCUUUUAAGCACUCCUUUUUAGUUAUCCCCACCUGCCCAGUUCCCUUAUUAGGCUGAGACACUUUAAAUUAUCUGCUUCCCUGACUAUUCCUAGACUACAGCUAUAUCUCAUGGCCGCCCUUUUUCCCAAUCCAAAGCCUCCUUUGCGUCCUCCUCUUGUAUCAAACUGAC
rnacentral:lncRNA from 1 species